rnacentral:rRNA from 1 species
UACGUAGGGUGCAAGCGUUAAUCGGAAUUACUGGGCGUAAAGCGUGCGCAGGCGGUGAUGUAAGACAGGUGUGAAAUCCCCGGGCUUAACCUGGGAACUGCAUUUGUGACUGCAUCGCUGGAGUGCGGCAGAGGGGGAUGGAAUUCCGCGUGUAGCAGUGAAAUGCGUAGAUAUGCGGAGGAACACCGAUGGCGGAGGCAAUCCCCUGGGCCUGCACUGACGCUCAUGCACGAAAGCGUGGGGAGCAAACAGG